AGAAUCAACGCUGGCGGCGUGCCUAACACAUGCAAGUCGAACGAGAAAGGGGAGCAAUCCCUGAGUAAAGUGGCGACCGGGUGAGUAACACGUGACUAACCUACCCUCGAGUGUGGAAUAACAUCGGGAAAACCGAUGCUAAUACCGCAUAACAUCGGCGCUUUUAAGAGAUGCCGAUCAAAGGAGCAAUCCGCUUGAGGAGGGGGUCGCGGCUGAUUAGCUAGUUGGCGGGGUAACGCCCACCAAGGCGAAGAUCGGU
rnacentral:rRNA from 1 species